UCCUGAAGUUUGUGAACUGAUUGAAAAGGAAAACAGACAGCCAUUGGUACAGAUAAAAAAGCGGAAAACUGGAGACGAAGCUUCUGACCUCAGGGUUGCCAAAAAGAAGAAUGAUAACACUUCUGGUGGGAAAGGGUUUGGCAAAAGGAAGAGAAGAUUUAUAUAUGACACAACACUGUGCAGAUCACGACUGGUCAUGAUUUCAGAUGAAUAAAGGAAGAAACAUCUGUGGAUAAAAAUCUUGAUUGACCUGUAUACUUCAUUUAUGCAGUAUAUGCACAUCUUGUUGCUCAUUUUGUAUGUGUUCUGCUGCCUUUUUGAAGGAUAUAUUUUGUUUAUUUUAAGGUUAUUGCAAGAACUUCUGCGUCAAUCUUUACUAGAACACAUGGGUUUAUUCCAACCCAGAGUUUCAUUUUAUGGUGAAAUUGGAUCAGUCAAUUGAAUUUGUUUUAGCAAAUAUACGUCUCUGGUGGGCAAAAAUACGACACUAUUAUUGAGGUGUAGUGUUUAACAAUUUGUAUCCAGUCAAAUGUUCCUUAUUUCGCCAGUUGUCUUUAUAAUCCCCCGAAAGUAUUGAGUGAGAUGUCCUUUAUAAGCUAUUGUAACUGUACAUUUGUUCAUGUGCAUUUUUCUACCAAUUUUCGAUUUCGGUUUAGAAAUGCUUUGUAUGAACAUGUCUUCACAUAUAA